UGCCGCGUGCAGGAUGACGGUCCUUCUGGAUUGUAAACUGCUUUUAUACGAAAAAAAACACUCCUUCGUGAAGGAAUUUGACGGGACCGGACGAAUAAGGAUCGGCUAACUCCGUGCCAGCAGCCGCGGUAAUACUGAGGAUCCUAGCGUUAUCCGGAAUCAUUGGGUUUAAAGGGUCCGUAUGCGGUUUAAUAAGUCAGUGGUGAAAGCCCAUCGCUCAACGAUGGAACGGCCAUUGAUACCGGUGAGCUAGAAUGAUUAGGAAGUAACUAGAAUAUGUUGCGUAGCGGUGAAGAGGAAAAACAGUACAUGGAAUACCAAUUGCGAAGGCAGGUGACUACUGAUGGAUUGACGCUGAUGGACGAAAGCGUUGGUAUCCAACGGGAUUACAUACCCUGGUAGUCCACGCCUAAGACGAUGGAUACUAGCUGUUGGAAGCAAUUUCAGUGGCUAAGCGAAAGUGAUAAGUAUCCCACCUGGGGAGUACGUUUGCAAGAAUGAAACUCAGAGGAAUUGACGGGGGCCCGCACAAGCGUUGGAGUAUGUGGUUUAAUUCGAUGAUACGCGAGGAACCUUACCAAGGCUUAAAUGUAGAUUGACCGUUUUGGAAACACAACUUUC
rnacentral:rRNA from 1 species